UUUCAGUUUAUCCUGGGGACCGGUCUCAC
rnacentral:piRNA from 1 species